UGGGGAAUAUUGGACAAUGGGCGAAAGCCUGAUCCAGCAAUGCCGCGUGAGUGAUGAAGGCCUUAGGGCUGUAAAGCUCUUUUACCAGGGAUGAUAAUGACAGUACCUGGAGAAUAAGCUCCGGCUAACUCCGUGCCAGCAGCCGCGGUAAUACGGAGGGAGCUAGCGUUGUUCGGAAUUACUGGGCGUAAAGCGCACGUAGGCGGCCAUUCAAGUCAGAGGUGAAAGCCCGGGGCUCAACCCCGGAACUGCCUUUGAAACUAGAUGGCUUGAAUCUUGGAGAGGCGAGUGGAAUUCCGAGUGUAGAGGUGAAAUUCGUAGAUAUUCGGAAGAACACCAGUGGCGAAGGCGACUCGCUGGACAAGUAUUGACGCUGAGGUGCGAAAGCGUGGGGAGCAAAACAGGAUUAGAUACCCUGGUAGUCCACGCCAUAAACGAUGAUAACUAGCUGUCCGGGUUCAUGGAACUUGGGUGGCGCAGCUAACGCAUUAAGUUAUCCGCCUGGGGAGUACGGUCGCAAGAUUAAAACUUAAAGGAAUUGACGGGGUCAUAGCUGUUUCCU
rnacentral:rRNA from 1 species